UACGAAGGGAGCUAGCGUUGUUCGGAAUCACUGGGCGUAAAGCGCACGUAGGCGGAUGUGUCAGUCAGGGGUGAAAUCCCGGAGCUCAACUUCGGAACUGCCUUUGAUACAGCACGUCUUGAGUCCGAUAGAGGUGGGUGGAAUUCCUAGUGUAGAGGUGAAAUUCGUAGAUAUCGGGAGGAACACCGGUGGGCGAAGGCGGCAUCCUGGACCGGGUAUUGACGCUGAGGCGCGAAAGCUAGGGGAGCAAACGGG
rnacentral:rRNA from 1 species